rnacentral:rRNA from 1 species
UACGUAGGGUGCAAGCGUUAAUCGGAAUUACUGGGCGUAAAGCGUGCGUAGGCGGUUGGCAAAGUCAGCUGUGAAAGCCCCGGGCUUAACCUGGGAAUGGCGGUUGAAACUAGUCGACUCGAAUCUGGCAGAGGGGGGUGGAAUUCCACGUGUAGCAGUGAAAUGCGUAGAGAUGUGGAGGAACACCGAUGGCGAAGGCAGCCCCCUGGGCUGAGAUUGACGCUCAGGCACGAAAGCGUGGGGAGCAAACAGG